GUCAACUCGGUCGGUGAGUCAACUCGGGUCAGACGAGUUAACUUGGUUCGGUUCAGGUUCGGGUCAACAUAAGUCAACAACGGUCAACAGUUCUGAUUGACUCGGUCAACUGAGGUCAAACUCAGUCAACUCGAGACGCGGUAAAGUUUUAGUGACGC